rnacentral:rRNA from 1 species
GAUGAACGCUGGCGGCGUGCCUAAUACAUGCAAGUCGAGCGAACGGACGAGAAGCUUGCUUCUCUGAUGUUAGCGGCGGACGGGUGAGUAACACGUGGAUAACCUACCUAUAAGACUGGGAUAACUUCGGGAAACCGGAGCUAAUACCGGAUAAUAUUUUGAACCGCAUGGUUCAAAAGUGAAAGACGGUCUUGCUGUCACUUAUAGAUGGAUCCGCGCUGCAUUAGCUAGUUGGUAAGGUAACGGCUUACCAAGGCAACGAUGCAUAGCCGACCUGAGAGGGUGAUCGGCCAAACUGGAACUGAGACACGGUCCAGACUCCUACGGGAGGCAGCAGUAGGGAAUCUUCCGCAAUGGGCGAAAGCCUGACGGAGCAACGCCGCGUGAGUGAUGAAGGUCUUCGGAUCGUAAAACUCUGUUAUUAGGGAAGAACAGAUGUGUAAGUAACUGUGCACAUCUUGACGGUACCUAAUCAGAAAGCCACGGCUAACUACGUG